CAAAAUAACAAAAUUUAUGAAAAAAAUACAUAUUACCUUUAUCUAAUUGGUUGUAAUGCUCAACAUCUUCCAUGUGGAAACCAUCUAACUGUGGAGAAGCUUUCAACCAAUUUUGUGUGCAUACCAAGACUUCCACCAUUUUAGGACUCAAUGAACUACGAAAAGGAUCAAGUAUCCUUCCUCCGAUGCUAAAAGCACUUUCUGAAGCAACUGUUGAAACUUGAAUUGCCAACACAUCCUUAGCAAGAUUAGACAAGACACCGUACUUACUUUUGUUAAGCUUCCACCAAUCGAGAACAUCAAAGUCCUUGUUCUCUAUGCUUUCACGAGCAUCAAGUAACUAUCUUUCCACAUCAUUUUUUAUUUCAACAUAAUCUUUUACAGCUUGUUUUUUCAAAAAUCUUGAAAGACGAGCAUCACUCAUAGAAGAAGAACUGUCUUUAUUUGUACCGAAAGAACUCAAAGACUCGUCAGUUGAUACUUGACUACUUCCAUGAACACCUUC
rnacentral:lncRNA from 1 species